CCCUUAGAUGUUCUGGGCCGCACGCGCGCUACACUGAUGCAUUCAACGAGUUUCUUGCUGGUCCGAGAGGAAUGGGUAACCUUUUGAAAGUGCAUCGUGAUAGGGAUAGACUAUUGCAAUUAUUGGUCUUCAACGAGGAAUUCCUAGUAGACGUAGUUCAUCAGACUGCAUCGAUUACGUCCCUGCCCUUUGUACACACCGCCCGUCGCUCCUACCGAUUGAAUGCUCAGGUGAGCCAUUCGGACUUUCAUCAUGCUGGUUUCCAGUUUUGAUGAAGGAAAGUCUUGCGAACCUUAUCAUUUAGAGGAAGGAGAAGUCGUAACA
rnacentral:rRNA from 1 species